UGAAGAUAUAGUCCAUACCACACGAAAGUCGUG
rnacentral:autocatalytically_spliced_intron from 3 species